rnacentral:rRNA from 1 species
GACGAACGCUGGCGGCGUGCUUAACACAUGCAAGUCGAACGGAAAGGCCUCUUUCGGGGGGUACUCGAGUGGCGAACGGGUGAGUAACACAUGAGUAACCUGCCCUUGACUUUGGGAUAACUUCAGUAAACUGGGGCUAAUACCGGAUAGGAGCUCCUGCUGCCUGGUGGGGGUUGGAAAGUUUCGGGGGGUGGGGGUGGGCUCGCGGCUUAUCGGCUUGUUGGUGGGGUGAUGGCUUACCAAGGGUUUAGCGGGAAGCCGGCCUGGGAGGGUGACCGGCCACACUGGGACUGAGGUACGGCACAGGCCCCUACGGGAGGCAGCAGGGGGGAAGAUUGCACAAUGGGUGGAAGGCGGAUGCAGCAACGCCGUGGGCGGGAUGACGGCCUUCGGGUUGUAAACCGCUUUCGCUCAUGACGAAGCUUUGUGUGACGGUAGUGGGUAAAGAAGCACCGGCUAACUACGUG